UAAGACGAACCGAGCGAACGUUAUUCGGAAUCACUGGGCUUAAAGGGCGCGUAGGCGGGUUUGCAAGUCCGUGGUGAAAUCCUCCAGCUCAACUGGAGAACUGCCGCGGAUACUGCGAGUCUCGAGGGAGGUAGGGGCGUGCGGAACAGAUGGUGGAGCGGUGAAAUGCGUUGAUAUCAUCUGGAACUCCGGUGGCGAAGGCGGCACGCUGGACCUCUUCUGACGCUGAGGCGCGAAAGCCAGGGGAGCAAACGGGAUUAGAUACCCCGGUAGUCCUGGCCCUAAACGAUGGGUACUAGGUAGUAGUCUUCACAUGGGAUUACUGCCGGAGCAAAAGUGCUAAGUACCCCGCCUGGGGAGUAUGGUCGCAAGGCUG
rnacentral:rRNA from 1 species